GAUGAACGCUGGCGGCGUGCCUAAUACAUGCAAGUAGAACGCUGAAGGAGGAGCUUGCUCUUCUGGAUGAGUUGCGAACGGGUGGGUAACGCGUAGGUAACCUGCCUGGUAGCGGGGGAUAACUAUUGGAAACGAUAGCUAAUACCGCAUGACAACAGUUAUUGCAUGAUAACUGUUUAAAAGGGGCAACUGCUCCACUACCAGAUGGACCUGCGUUGUAUUAGCUAGUUGGUGAGGUAACGGCUCACCAAGGCGACGAUACAUAGCCGACCUGAGAGGGUGAUCGGCCACACUGGGACUGAGACACGGCACAGACUCCUACGGGAGGCAGCAGUAGGGAAUCUUCGGCAAUGGACGGAAGUCUGACCGAGCAACGCCGCGUGAGUGAAGAAGGUUUUCGGAUCGUAAAGCUCUGUUGUAAGAGAAGAACGAGUGUGAGAGUGGAAAGUUCACACUGUGACGGUAUCUUACCAGAAAGGGACGGCUAACUACGUG
rnacentral:rRNA from 1 species